GUGAAGCGAAGACCUAUUGGAGAUUUUCUGCGCGCUGUCCCCUCGUAGACCGAGACCGACAGGCCGAAAACAGGAGCGUCCCACACCGAACUGAUGCUGUGUGCAGGAUGCUGUGUGCCAGCGCAAGCGAUUUUAUAAGGAAAAGUUAAUUGAAAUUUUGGAAGAGGAGGAAGAGGCCAUUGAACGGUCGUGUCUUUUGACGAACGGAGGGAUUUCAACAAGGAUCAGAUAAACUCGAUGAAUCAGGCCCUGGAGGCUAUGUUGGUUCGUGGAACCGCAGAGCUAGUAGUACAGGGCAACGAUCAAUACGUUCAAUUGGUCGACAAGGAUGUGUCCAUCAACGUCAGAAGAAAGAAGAAGGACAAAGCACACAGGGGAAAGAAGAAACACCGAUAUAAGAGACUCAAAGACGGCCGCGAUUCCUACUGAAACAAGGAAGGACAUUUUAAAGUAAAGCAAGUUCACAGCCAGGCAGACCCUGAACCAGGCUCCUCAAUAUGUUUUGAUGGUUCAUGAUCCAACAAGUGAUACCGAUCAUAAUCCAGCAACAGUGAACCACAAUUAGGCAGGGACAUUCUGCCCCCAGGGAGUUCUGCGUCCCUGCCCCUUGAUAGCAGCUGGGGUCGGGCUGGCAACCCGGUCCCGUAAAACCCUCCCCAGCAGGCAAACCGAGGAAAGAGAGAGGGGUGUCGGAGCCAUCCCGAAGAAGGUGACUCUUCGAGUUUCUUAUUUCGCUGUGUUUCCUUUUCCCCCUGUGUGUCUUGUCCUUCUUCUUUUUCCCCUGUGUGUCCUGUCCUUCUUCUUUUUCCCCUGUGUGUCUUCUCCUUCUUCUUUCUUCUGACGUUGAUGGACACAUCCUUGUCGACCAAUUGAACGUAUUGAUCGUUGCCCUGUACUACUAGCUCUGCGGUUCCACGAACCAACAUAGCCUCCAGGGCCUGAAAAAUAGAAAGAUAAAGGUUCUAGAUACAAAUACACAGAUAUAUAUAUGCAAAUACAGAAAUACACAGAAGCAAAUACAGAUACACAAAACACAAAACACAGAUACGGAAAUGCACAGACAGUUUGUUUGCAGUUUCCACGCAAUCUUACCUGAUUCAUCGAGUUUAUCUGAUCCUUGUUGAAAUCCCUCCGUUCGGCAGCCAUUGUCAAAAGACACGACCGUUCAAUGCCCUCUUCCUCCUCUUCCAAAAUUUCAAUUAAUUUUUCUUUGUAAAACCGUUUCUGCUGGCACACAGCAUCCUGCAAAACGAAAAGACAAACAUACCAACACACAAACCUAAGAUAUACGAAAGUAGAAAAUAUUACAAGGGCAGUGGCGCAUAAGUGUGUGCGUGUGUAUAUACAUACCAGUGUAUGCAUGCAUUUAUGUAUGUAUACAUGUAUUUAUGUAUGUAUGUGUUUGUGUGAGUUUAUAUGUAUGUGUGUAUUUGUAUGUACUUGUCACUAUUUAUUAUCUUUUCUUUAACACCUUCACAUAAAUCAACAUGUACAUUAAUUAAAGAAACUUAUUUUCUGAGAUUUUCUUUUAAAUCAUCUUCAAACAUGUCAAUUUUGGACUUACACUGUUUUUCAUAAUCAAAAAUCAAAUCUACUAGUUUUAUCAUUAGCUUUAGCUUCUAUAAAAAAUACUGUUGGUUACUGAAAACCCUGGAGAAUUAUCAACAAUAUUGCAUUUGCAUUUGUCACAUGAAUGAAUGUUCGUAAGUCUGUGGCAUAGAUAUCCUGUAACAUAAGUAACUGUAGUUUUUUUUUUUUUUUUUUGUAGGUCUUGGUUUGUUUGAGAGGUAUUUAUUAUUUUGUUGUGAUUUUCUGUAAAAGGAUUGGAGGAUGAAAAAUACCGGGCCAUGUUUGAAAGUUCAUUUUCUGAUGUAAAUGGAUUCAAUGUGGGAAAACAUGUGCCCAGAAAGCUCCUCGUGACUAGCAACUGGCUGAUCAAUUUCUCAGUUAUUUGAGCCAUGUUUUCAGCAAGCAUUUGUUGAAUCUCCGGUGGAUCCUUAUCUGGACUGAUGGUCUCUUUAGUACCAGCUGAAUUAAAUAUUGUUUUAAAUGAUUUGCUUUUGUAUUACAUAAGUUUAGUUAUGCUAGCAUUGGUGUCUCAUCAUCAGCACAGUUCCCAUUUUCAGUUUGCUGAAUUAAGUGAUCAGUCGUAACAUUUUUGACAGCUGCUACAAAACCUUUUGCAUCCAGGAGAACCAUUAUUACCACUAAUGUUACGUAUGCAGCCAAAAAAAUUCUCUAAAUAAUCUUGGUUUAACUUUCUUGUUAACAAAUAGAUACCUUAAAAUGUGUCUCUAGAUCAUGCCAAAGGAAUUUCAAUGACUCUAAAUUUUGAAUCCAAUCUGCUACACUUGGUAUGUGACGUUUGUUGCAUUCCAUGAUUUCAACCAAUUACUCGUGUCAUUAAUCUGCUGUAAGUUAAAAUGUUUUGAUAUGACACAUUUUGAGGUUCUAUAAUGAUUUUUUGAGAGCUAUUAAAACGAUCAAAGAGUUCAUCCAUCUUUAAAAUGAACUGUGCUGUAGCAGUGGCUUCAAUUGGCAGAACUCCAAGUGAAGCAUGGCUAUGGAUGGCUGCUGCUACAUUUCUACUAAAUAUUUGAGUGGCAAGCUUAAUCCUCAUUUUCUUAAAACCACUACAACUGAUAUGUGAAGCUGUGAUUUCCGGAGCUAACCUGAUAGCCAUUUCUUUAUCAAUAGAAUAA
rnacentral:lncRNA from 1 species